ensembl:misc_RNA Metazoa_SRP Metazoan signal recognition particle RNA
GCUGGGUGUAGUGGUGUGCACCUGUAGUCCCAGCUACUCAGGAGGCUGAGGAGGAUCACUUGAGCCCAGGAGGUCAAGGAUGCAGUGAGCAGUGAUCGUGCCACUGCAUUCUAGCCUGAGCAACAGAGCAAGACCUCAU